UACGUAGGGUGCGAGCGUUGUCCGGAAUUAUUGGGCGUAAAGAGCUCGUAGGCGGUGUGUCGCGUCGGCCGUGAAAACCUGGGGCUCAACUCUGGGCGUGCGGUCGAUACGGGCAUCACUGGAGUUCGGCAGGGGAGACUGGAAUUCCUGGUGUAGCGGUGAAAUGCGCAGAUAUCAGGAGGAACACCGGUGGCGAAGGCGGGUCUCUGGGCCAUAACUGACGCUGAGAAGCGAAAGCAUGGGGAGCGAACAGG
rnacentral:rRNA from 1 species